GACGAACGCUGGCGGCGUGCUUAACACAUGCAAGUCGAACGGAAAGGCCCUGCUUUUGUGGGGUGCUCGAGUGGCGAACGGGUGAGUAACACGUGAGUAACCUGCCCUUGACUUUGGGAUAACUUCAGGAAACUGGGGCUAAUACCGGAUAGGAGCUCCUGCUGCAUGGUGGGGGUUGGAAAGUUUCGGCGGUUGGGGAUGGUCUCGCGGCUUAUCAGCUUGUUGGUGGGGUAGUGGCUUACCAAGGCUGUGACGGGUAGCCGGCCUGAGAGGGUGACCGGCCACAUGGGGACUGCGAGACGGCCCAGAAUGCUACGGGAGGCAGCAGUGGGGAAUAUUGCGGAACGGGGGGAAGCCUGAUGCAGCAACGCCGCGUGCGGGAUGCCGGCCUUCGGGUUGUAAACCGCUUUCGCCGGUGACGAAGCGUGAGUGACGGUAAUGGGUAAAGAAGCACCGGCUAACUACGUG
rnacentral:rRNA from 1 species